GUGGGGGAUGCAUGCACUGACCUUGAUGCUACUGUCUGACUCACCAUGCGCACUGUUUUAUUGAAGAUUUCUGAAGACGUGGGCCAACAAACAUGAUACAGUUUGCUUUGAGGUCGGAUGCACUGUAAGUCUGUGAAUGGACUUGCUAACGCUGGCUCUCACUUCUGACGAACAAGGUGUGUGGACUUACGUUUGCUGGACAGAAGCUUCUCAAAAGACUGUUUCCACAUCAGACAUUCCUCCAAGGUCAACCUGCAAAGAUGCUGCUCAAGUCUUGUCUCUGCAGAAAUCCACCUACGCAUGCCUUUAAUCUUUUGGCCCUGAUGUUAGAA